rnacentral:snoRNA from 1 species
CAUUUGAUGACACCUGGCUCCCUCUACUGAGGUGAUGAGGAGAUUCUGCAUCGAACCCAUUUUCUCUGAAG